CUCUCAGCACCGUUUCAUGUGCUUGGAAGUAAGGUUGACAAUGAAGACAGGUGAGGAUGUCUUCCAAAUCAUUCAUCAGGCAACUGAGACCUGAUUAAAACCAGAGACAUGUAGCUAUAGUUACCACGUUCUACAAAUGUUAUGAAUUUUCUACAAUAGUAAUAUGUACUAUGUUGUCAUAAUAGAAGUUAAAACCAGGAUGAAAGACAUGAGAGGAAGCAGAGGAAACCCUGGCCAGACAACAUGUAGGGAAGGUAGACAGAGUCACCUUUUCUAUGAAGUCACUCUUCAUCUGGGAAAGGUUCUCAGACCAUGGACAAAGGAGAGAAGCAACUGCCAAUGGCAACCAAAGUCCACUGCUUCAAAUCCAACUUCAGUUUGAUUGGCUUAGAGGGAUGGAAGUAGAGGAGGAGCCAGGACCCAGUUACUUGUGUCUGAUGCAUUCACUUAACAAUCAUCAUGCAUUAUACUCAUAUAACUUUUCAACCUUUCUAAGGGCUGUACAGCAUCAUCUCAUCACUACUUGUUCUCACUGCAAUGCUUGA
rnacentral:lncRNA from 1 species